rnacentral:rRNA from 1 species
GCUGGCGGCGUGCCUACACAUGCAAGUCGAACGGAGUAAGGGUUUCGAUUCUUACUUAGUGGCGAACGGGUGAGUAACGCGUGAACAACCUGCCUUUCCGAGGGGGAUAACACCUGGAAACAAGUGCUAAUACCGCAUAAGACCACAUGUCCGCAUGGACGAGGGGUCAAAGGAGCAAUCCGCAGGGAGAGGGGUUCGCGUCCCAUUAGCUAGUUGGCGGGGCAACGGCCCACCAAGGCGACGAUGGGUAGCCGAGCUGAGAGGCUGAUCGGCCACACUGGAACUGAGACACGGUCCAGACUCCUACGGGAGGCAACAGUGGGGAAUAUUGGGCAAUGGGCGCAAGCCUGACCCAACAACGCCGCGUGAGGGAAGAAGGUCUUCGGAUUGUAAACCUCUGUCCUAUGUGACGAAGGAAGUGACGGUAGCAUAGGAGGAAGCCCCGGCUAACUACGUGCCAGCAGCCGCGGUAAU